GGUUCGCUGCGCGGUGCGACGGCUUCGUUAUCCCGGGGGCUAUACGAUCCUCUAGGGAGCUGUCCCUGUCGGGAUCCUGGUCUCGGCACACGGCGCCCACCUGGUAACCCAGGCCCAUGAGGAUUAACAAACCGACGGCCGAUGCGGCUCCGCC
rnacentral:other from 1 species